rnacentral:rRNA from 1 species
AACGAACGCUGGCGGCAGGCCUAAUACAUGCAAGUCGAACGCCCCUUCGGGGGAGUGGCGCACGGGUGAGUAACGCGUGGGAAUGUGCCCUUGGGUACGGAACAACACCGGGAAACUGGUGCUAAUACCGUAUAAUGUCUUCGGACCAAAGAUUUAUCGCCCAGGGAUCAGCCCGCGUAGGAUUAGCUAGUUGGUGAGGUAAUGGCUCACCAAGGCUACGAUCCUUAGCUGGUCUUAGAGGAUGAUCAGCCACACUGGAACUGAGACACGGUCCAGACUCCUACGGGAGGCAGCAGUAAGGAAUAUUGGACAAUGGGGGAAACCCUGAUCCAGCCAUGCCGCGGGAAUGAAGAAGGCCUUAGGGUUGUAAAGUUCUUUUAGUGGUGACGAUAAUGACGGUAGCCACAGAAAAAGCUCCGGCUAACUCCGUGCCAGCCGCCGCCGUAA